GGGGGGUACGUUUCGGGAUAUUGGGCGUAAGCGCGCGCAGGCGGUUUCUUAAGUCUGAUGUGAAAGCCCACGGCUCCCCUUUGGAGGGUCAUUGGAAACUGGGGAACUUGAGUGCAGAAGAGAUUAGUGGAAUUCCACGUGUAGCGGUGAAAUGCGUAGAGAUGUGGAGGAACACCAGUGGCGAAGGCGGCUUUUUGGUCUGUAACUGACGCUGAGGCGCGAAAGCGUGGGGAGCAAACAGGAUUAGAUACCCUGGUAGUCCACGCCGUAAACGAUGAGUGCUAAGUGUUAGAGGGUUUCCGCCCUUUAGUGCUGCAGCUAACGCAUUAAGCACUCCGCCUGGGGAGUACGGUCGCAAGACUGAAACUCAAAGGAAUUGACGGGGGCCCGCACAAGCGGUGGAGCAUGUGGUUUAAUUCGAAGCAACGCGAAGAACCUUACCAGGUCUUGACAUCCUCUGACAACUCUAGAGAUAGAGCGUUCCCCUUCGGGGGACAGAGUGACAGGUGGUGCAUGGUUGUCGUCAGCUCGUGUCGUGAGAUGUUGGGUUAAGUCCCGCAACGAGCGCAACCCUUGAUCUUAGUUGCCAGCAUUUAGUUGGGCACUCUAAGGUGACUGCCGGUGACAAACCGGAAGAAUGUGGGGAUGACGUCAAAUCAUCGUGCCCCUUAUGACCUGGGCUACACACGUGCUACUGUGGAUGGUACAAAGGGCUGCAAGACCGCGAGGUCAAGCCUAUCCCAUAUCACCAUUCUCAGUUCAGAUUGUACGCUGCAACUCGCCUACAUGAAGCUGGAAUCGCUAGUAAUCGCGGAUCAGCAUGCCGCGGGUGAAUACGUUCCCGGGCCUUGUACACACCGCCUGUCACACCACGAGAGUUUGUAACACCCGAACUCGGUGGAGUAACCGUAAGGAGCUAGCCGCCUAAGGUGGGACAGAUGAUUGGGGUGAAUCUAAGGGGGUUCCCCCCCAAAAAAAACCCCGCAAAUUUGCCCCCCCUUUUUUUUAAAAUUUCCCCCCCUUGGGAGGGAAAAAAAAAAAAAACCCCAAAAAAUUUUUUUAAAAA
rnacentral:rRNA from 2 species